GACGAACGCUGGCGGCGUGCUUAACACAUGCAAGUCGAACGGAAAGGCCCUGCUUUUGUGGGGUGCUCGAGUGGCGAACGGGUGAGUAACACGUGAGUAACCUGCCCUUGACUUUGGGAUAACUUCAGGAAACUGGGGCUAAUACCGGAUAGGAGCUCCUGCUGCAUGGUGGGGGUUGGAAAGUUUCGGCGGUUGGGGGUGGACUCGCGGCUUAUCAGCUUGUUGGUGGGGUAGUGGCUUACCAAGGCUUUGACGGGUAGCCGGCCUGAGAGGGUGACCGGCCACAUUGGGACUGAGAUACGGCCCAGACUCCUACGGGAGGCAGCAGUGGGGAAUAUUGCACAAUGGGCGGAAGCCUGAUGCAGCAACGCCGCGUGCGGGAUGACGGCCUUCGGGUUGUAAACCGCUUUCGCCUGUGACGAAGCGUGAGUGACGGUAAUGUGUAAAGAAGCACCGGCUAACAACGUG
rnacentral:rRNA from 1 species